rnacentral:misc_RNA from 1 species
GAUGAAGAACGCAGCGAAAUGCGAUAAGUAAUGUGAAUUGCAGAAUUCAGUGAAUCAUCGAAUCUUUGAACGCACAUUGCGCCCGCCAGCACUCUGGCGGACAUGCCUGUUCGAGCGUCAUUUCAACCAUCAAGCCCCCAGGGGCUUGUGCUGGGGCCCUGCGGCUGCCCGCAGGCCCUGAAAACCAGUGGCGGGCUCGCUAGUCACACCGAGCGCAGUAGCACAUCUCGCUCAGGGCGUGCGGCGGGCUCCUGCCGUGAAACCCCCCACUGUAACCCCAAAGGUUGACCUCGGAUCAGGUAGGAAUACCCGCUGAACUUAAGCAUAUCAAUAAGCGGAGGA